rnacentral:rRNA from 1 species
CCUACGGGUGGCAGCAGUUGGGAAUCUUGCACAAUGGGCGAAAGCCUGAUGCAGCGACGCCGCGUGCGGGACGAAGGCCUUCGGGUCGUAAACCGCUUUCAGCAGGGAAGAGGCCUUUAUGGUGACGGUACCUGCAGAAGAAGCUCCGGCUAAAUACGUGCCAGCAGCCGCGGUAAUACGUAUGGAGCGAGCGUUAUCCGGAUUCAUUGGGCGUAAAGCGCGCGUAGGCGGUCUGUUAAGUCAGGAGUUAAAUGCGGGGGCUCAACCUCCGUCUGCUUUUGAUACUGGCAGACUUGAGUUCGGUAGGGGAAGGUGGAAUUCCGUGUGUAGCGGUGGAAUGCGCAGAUAUACGGAAGAACACCGAUAGCGAAGGCAGCCUUCUGGGCCGCAACUGACGCUGAGGCGCGAAAGCUAGGGGAGCGAACAGGAUU